AUUGAACGCUGGCGGCAGGCCUAACACAUGCAAGUCGAACGAGUGGCGGACGGGUGAGUAAUGUCUGGGAAACUGCCUGAUGGAGGGGGAUAACUACUGGAAACGGUAGCUAAUACCGCAUACCAUCGGAUGUGCCCAUGUGGGAUUAGCUAGUAGGGGGGGUAAAGGCUCACAUCGGCGACGAUCCCUAGCUGGUCUGAGAGGAUGACCAGCAACACGGGAACGGAGACACGGCCCAGACUCCUACGGGAGGCAGCAGUGGGGAAUAUGGCACAAGGGGCGCAAGCCUGAUGCAGCCAUGCCGCGUAGAUGAAGAAGGCCUUGGGGUUGUAAAGUACGUUCAGCGGGGAGGCGUUACCCGCAGAAGAAGCCCCGGCUAACUCCGUGCCAGCAGCCGCGGUAAUAC
rnacentral:rRNA from 1 species